UAAACUUCUUCUAAAAUUAUAUAGCAAGGAUUCAACAUUAUAGUGUCGUUUCUCCGCUGCAAGACCGCUAUAACAUUCUUUUUCUACUGCUCGAGCACCAUCACCAUGGCACCACCUAAAUAAUUCAAUUCUAUAAAUCUUUUCACGUGAAUCUAGCGUAGUUGAAGACGAAGUUGGAAAAGGAGAAUAUCACGUUUGGCUCGAGUGAAUCGUUUGCGAGAAGAGAAUUCUCCCAGUGUUUCAGAUGAAAUAUAUUCACUAGCAGUUGUCCCUGAUCCACGUGUUGUGCGAUAUAGUGGUUGUAUCACUAAUGCAAUUCGAUUUCGUACAAGGGACCGGGAAGUUAAUUUGCGGACACAAAAUAGUGGUGUUGUAGUAAAGGGGGAGCACCAGUCUAAUGUUGCUGAUUUUUAUGGUGUGUUAACAGAUGUCUUAGAGCUAAGUUACCUGUAUGGAAAGAAAGUUUUUCUUUUCAGAUGUGAUUGGUGGGACGCCGAUAAGAGAAGGAAAAAUAUUAUUGCAGAUAGCCAUUUCACUAGUCUUAACUUCUCUCAGACAUGGUACAAAGACGAUCAUUUUGUGCUUGCUGACCAAGUGCAACAAGUUUUCUACCUUAAAGAACUUAAAAUGCGUGGAAAAUGGCAUGUUGUUCAACAUGUAAUUCCUCGAAAUGUCUAUGAUGUCUCAGAGAAAGAGGUUGGGUCAGAACCAAAUAAUGACGAGGCAUAUCAGCAAGAUGAACACUUUCACAACAGAUAACAUCGUUCAAGAUAAUUCUGGAAAUGCAUCAAGUUGCAAUGAGGAAGCUACUAAUUCAAGUUGGAAUAGAAAUGAUGUCGCCGCCGAAGAAGUUUAUAUAGAUACUGUUAUAGAUGAUCUUGAAGGUUCAGAGGAUUAUAUUGAAGAAGAAGAACUUGAAGGAGAAGGUGGUCUUUUGAGUGAACAUGAUAGUGAAGAUGAAGGUGUUAUAUCAAGUGGUGAAAGUGAUAUUGAUUAAAGAGAAGUGUUUCUCAACCA